GAUCUGAUCUGAGUUAAGGAAGGGGAGAGAGAGAGAGUUGGGAAUGGGAAAGGCGGUGGGAAUUGGGAAAGUGUUUUCGUGUUUCAUGAAUUCCGGAGCUUCCAGUUCGUGCUUCCAAAUCGAAGCCACUUUUGAGCCCAAACAGCCAUUAAUGCCUAACCAACCUAACUCACACCUUCUCAGACUCAACGAUGUGAUCUCUCAUACCAACCAACAAGCCAACCCCAAGGUGGUGGAGCUGAGGGUGUCAAUGCAUUGUAAUGGCUGUGCCAGAAGGGUUGAGAAGAACAUCGGCAAGAUAGAAGGCGUGGAUUCAUAUAAGGUAGAUUUUGAAAGGAAGACGGUUGUGGUUACGGGAGAUGUUUCUAGUUUUGAAGUUAUACAAUGCGUUUCUAAAGUGAGAAGCGUAGAGAUUCUCGAACCUCAAGAAUGAACACAAGGAAAAAAUAAAUUAUAUUAUGGGGAAAGCAGGAAAUUAGAGGGCGAAAAGUUUACACUUUUCACUGAAAGGUCGAGAAAUGGAUGAUUGGGCAGCACGUUGCCUUCUCGAUUGUAGCCGAUUGGACAUAAGCGUGCCACACAGAAUCAUACCCCACUAAUUUCUUUCU